rnacentral:rRNA from 1 species
AGAGUUUGAUCCUGGCUCAGGACGAACGCUGGCGGUAUGCUUAACACAUGCAAGUCGAACGAGACGAGAUGGAAGGAUCCUUCGGGUGACGGAAAUCUUAGAAAGUGGCGAACGGGUGAGUAACGCGUGGGUAACCUGCCCUUUGGAAAGGAAUAGCCUCGGGAAACUGGGAGUAAUGCCUUAUAAUAUACGGGAGUCGCAUGGCUUUUGUAUUAAACGCUCCGGUGCCAAAGGAUGGACCCGCGUCCCAUUAGCUAGUUGGUGAGAUAACAGCCCACCAAGGCGACGAUGSGUARCYGGUCUGAGAGGRCGAWCRGYCACACUGGAACUGAGACACGGUCCAGACUCCUACGGGAGGCAGCAGUGGGGAAUCUUGCGCAAUGCACGAAAGUGUGACGCAGCAACGCCGCGUGCGGGAAGAAGGUCUUCGGAUCGUAAACCGCUUUCAGUUGGGACGAGGGUUGCACGGUGAAUAGCCGGCGUAACUGACGGUACCUUCAGAAGAAGCACCGGCUAACUCUGUGCCAGCAGCCGCGGUAAUA